AUUUAAAUAGCUUAAAAUUUUUUAAAGUUUAAUAUUGAAGAUAUUGAGAUGAUUAGUAAUCUUUAAAUA
rnacentral:tRNA from 1 species